ACCAAAAGGAACCAUAACCGUUGCCUUUCAACCACCAUGACUCCGCCGAGUAUCUCCCUUAUCCCUUCCUCCUCCAUCACCACCACAAUCCCUCCGACGCCCCUGAAACCGCCGCCGUUGGUAGGAGGCCAACCACCGCCGCCGCUCGAAACAAAGCUUUUCAGCCGUAGAAACGCCGUCGUUUGGCUCUCACUUAUUGCCCCUCUCACUUAUCCUGCCUCCGCUCUCUCCUUCGGCAUAUCAGGACCAAAAGAAUGGCUAAGAGGUCAGAAGAAGAAGACUGCCAAAUACCUUUUGGCUCCAAUCGAUGCUUCUAGAAACAUCCUCCGCUAUGCUUAUCUCUUACUUACUAGAAAUGAAUCGGAAUUUGGUGAAAAGGAACUUGAAGAAGUUCAGAGCUUAUUGAGAUCUGCUGCAAGGGAUUGUGUGCCUCAAGAGAGGAGUUCCUUCGUUCAGUUUCAAUCAAACACGGGAGUUGAGGUCUGCACUUUCCAGUUGGUUGUGAAAAAUGCUUCUUCUUUGCUUGCUGACAAGGACCCAGUAAAGUUAGCUGCUGAAGCCAAACUUAUUGAUCUCAUAAGGUCUUUUGCUUCUCUCAGUGACAUGUCAAACGAAUUUGAUGUACAAGUUGCUUCUAAUAGACAAAAGGUUGCAAAUGCUCUCAUGGAUACAGUAACUUGUCUGGACAACUUUGAGCAAGGCGUCAAGGAAUGCCUUGAAGUUUGAUAAUCCUUAUUCAAGGCAAAGAAGGAACGGAUGGUUCAUCGGCAUUUGCCAAUUUGGCAGAUGCUUUUAUCCUUUACUUUUGGGGCGGCAAAAAGAAAAACUGCAAUAGUCUUGGAACACAUAGAUGCUCACUGUAGAAAGUCAUAGGUAUGCCCAAAACUUCCUGUCAUUGCAUACCUUUACUUUAUUUCAUUAAAAAGCAAUAGCCUCCCAAGUUGGCCCCAACACCACCUUUAUAAUUUUUUUUUAUUAAAUAGCAGUGAACUUAGGUAGUAGGGUUUGAUACAAUGAAGUGGGUGAGAACCAUGAGAUCUCAGGUUCAAAUCCCAGCAGAGACAAAAACACUAGGUGGGAUGGAGUUACAUGAUACAUAUUGCUGGUGGGAGGUGGCACGUAUCCUGUGGAAUUAGUCGAGGUAUGUGUAAGCUGGCCCACAUGGUUAUCAAAAAAAAUGUUAUUGGUGUUACCAUUACAUUAGAGAAUUAAAUUUCUUACUAAACUUGCUCAAAACUGCACUACUGUGAUAUGAUAGUCAUAUGAGCUGCAUUGAUCUCAUGGUGAGUAGAUUUUCAACGUGAGAUAGCGAAGUUGAUUUUUAUGGAGUUAAGGAAUUGAUUUUUUCUUGCUCUCUCUCUCUCUCUCUCUUGCUAAAGGAGAGGAAGGUGCAAUCAGAACUUAGGAAUGGUAUGCCUGUCAAUUUGUAAGUACUGAGAGAUUGGAUUAUGCUUAUACCUUGAGCUCAAUUCUCUUUUUUCUGUUUGGUGCUCUCUUUUUUCUGUUUUGGUGCUCUGAAAUUACAUUCCAAUAGAGUCUGCUCGGCGGUUCAGAAGUAAAAUCUGUAGAAAUUAGCUAUUUGCAUGUGGAUUUUACGCCAAGAAAUGCAGAAUUCUUGUCAUACUUGACAAUAUCCACACUUUAGCCUUUAGAGAUUUACUCUUCACCAAUAAGUGAUAAUCUAUACUUUGAAUCUCUUAACAGAUCCACUUUUCACAUGGGUUUUCAAAAUUCCCAAUUGAAUCUGACUUGUAUGAGAUACUCUUCUAAUGCUUAUUUGCUUUAUCAGGGAUGACUAAAUGCUUUUCAAGUGUAUUUUCAAUAAUAUGUAACUUGCCAACGCUAACAGGAUGAUACAGAACUUCUAGCAAUAGUUCAAAGAAUUGGAAUCACUAGUUGGUAACUGGCUCCAGUUUUAAGCGUUUUCAGUUCUAACUAUACUGCAGUAAUCUUGGAUUCAAGGAUGACAGUAGCUGCUAAGUUCCAUACUAUGCAAAGAACAUGCUUUUCAUGCAGACAAUAGUUCACUCUUACAGAACUUCUCUGUUUCUUCUUAGUCGCCAUUUGGUCAUACCACCUGUAUUGCUCAGAUCUUCCAAAAGUGCCGUUGCUCCUGACACCAUUUUGGAGGAUCUGACACGGUCUCAGUAGCAUUUUUGGGCGAUUCGAGCAACAUAGCAUACCACACAAAGGAUGUUUUCAUUUUGUGUUUUAUACAUAAUUCAGGCCUUAGAAGCAUGUGAAGGAACAAGGUCUGGGAUGAUUCUUGUAUGAGUCCUUUAAUCAAGCCCUUCUAUAAUAAGUGCUUUCAGGUAGCAGGUUUUGAUUAUCUACUACGAUUAUGUUUCUAAUAUUAAAUAUCUCUGCACCUAUCAGAGUCUAGUACUUACGGGCUCAAGUCAAUCUCUGCGUGAAAGCAAUCAUAGGGGAUUUGGGUUUGAGAUAAGUCAUCCUUAUCAUUUGUAGGUCAAAAAAGGAGCAAGUGAACUUGCCUUUGUUUGUAAAUAUGAAAAAGGGUAAGUAACCGCCAAUUGUGUGAAUCUCUUUAGGCGUUCAUGCCUUCUCCUGGUCGGUCCGACUCUUUUUGUUUGUAAAUAUGAAAAAGGGUAAGUAACCGCCAAGUGAACUCUUUUUGUUGUAUGAAUCUCUUUAUCCGAAGCCAGGCAAUCAGCAUUAAUUCCUUUAAGAAGAUUCCCUUUUCUGGAAAUAGAAAAAACUUUCUUUGUGAAUGGGAGAGAAUAGAAUAAGCUCUAACAGAAGGUAAAAUAGUACUAUCUUGUCGCUUUUUAACUCUUGCAAAAGUUGAAAGUUGGAGGAAUAUGAUGGGGCUGAAACAUGAUGAACUUGUUUAAGAAUUACCUAGAUCUUGAAAAGAUAAAAAGUAUACUAGUCAUAGCUUACAUUGUUGUAUAACUAAUGUGGUACGAUGACAGUAACAAUCAAUGAGGAGGUGCUUCUAAGCUCUAACAGCAAGUUAGAAGUUUAUUGGUGAACCAUUCUUAUAAUAUUCACAAAAUAGUCUAGUUUGGUGGUUCUCCAGAAGCCUGAAGCAAAUACAACCUACAACAUGGUGUUCCAUCAUCUGGGUGAGUUUGAAGUGACCUGGGCAAGUUGCGCAACUUGUUGAACAAAUUUAAUGGGUCAUUCAAUAACCCAAAAUGUGCAUCUGGGUCACCAAUUUGAGAAAGUUUAACAUCAGAAAAUCCUAGUGAUGGUAAUAAUUGAUCAGGAUAGUCGCUAUAGAAAUGGAAAUUGGAGCUGGACAUUGCGGUUGAUUGCUUGUUCAUGAAGUCCGCUAAGAGUACUGUAUGAGCAGAGCUUUAAGCCUGAUUCUUGAAGCUUUUCAAGCCAGUCCUUUUCUCUCAAGUCAGCUGCUACUCUGUUCAAUGAUUUUGCCAUCAUCAGUUGGUGCUUUUGUUCAUCUGUUGUUUCUGUUGCUGCCUCUACAAUAGUGGUUUUCAUCUGCAAGACCUCUGGAAAAUCAACCUCAAACAAGUUGCUGUCUUUCAAGCAACUCAAGCGAUAUGCCCUUGUAUCCAUACCUGCAGAAAAAGAAUAGACAUCAUUGGUUUGCUCUGUAACAUUUUUUUCUAAAUGGAAUCAAAUAGCUUCCGAGGGGCGAGCAAUGAAAGUGCUAGGUGAAAUAUGUGGAGUCUCUUGUGGUGGUCAAUCAUCUCCAUUCAG